rnacentral:rRNA from 1 species
UACGAAGGGUGCAAGCGUUAAUCGGAAUUACUGGGCGUAAAGCGUGCGUAGGUGGCUUGUUAAGUCUGCUGUGAAAGCCUCGGGCUCAACCUGGGAACUGCAGUGGAUACUGACGAGCUAGAGUGUGAUAGAGGAUGAUGGAAUUCCCGGUGUAGCGGUGAAAUGCGUAGAGAUCGGGAGGAACAUCAGUGGCGAAGGCGGUCAUCUGGAUCAACACUGACACUGAGGCACGAAAGCGUGGGGAGCAAACAGG